GAUUCAUUGGGUUUAAAGGGUGCGCAGGCGGAUUGGUAAGUCAGGGGUGAAAUCCCACAGCUCAACUGUGGAACUGCCUUUGAUACUGUCAGUCUAGAGUAUAGUUGAAGUUGGCGGAAUGUGUCAUGUAGCGGUGAAAUGCUUAGAUAUGACACAGAACACCGAUCGCGAAGGCAGCUAGCUAAGCUAUAACUGACGCUCAUGCACGAAAGCGUGGGGAUCAAACAGGAUUAGAUACCCUGGUAGUCCACGCUGUAAACGAUGAUUACUCGAUGUUGGCGAUACACAGUCAGCGUCUGAGCGAAAGCAAUAAGUAAUCCACCUGGGGAGUACGAUCGCAAGAUUGAAACUCAAAGGAAUUGACGGGGGCCCGCACAAGCGGAGGAGCAUGUGGUUUAAUUCGAUGAUACGCGAGGAACCUUACCUGGGCUCGAACGUAAGAUGACUGUAGGUGAAAGCUUACAUCUCUUCGGAGCAUUUUACGAGGUGCUGCAUGGUUGUCGUCAGCUCGUGCCGUGAGGUGUCGGGUUAAGUCCCAUAACGAGCGCAACCCCUACCUUUAGUUGCCAUCAGGUCAUGCUGGGGACUCUAAAGGAACUGCCUACGCAAGUAGUGAGGAAGGCGGGGAUGACGUCAAAUCAGCACGGCCCUUACGUCCAGGGCUACACACGUGCUACAAUGGCCGAUACAGAGGGCAGCUACCUGGUGACAGGAUGCAAAUCUCCAAAGUCGGUCUCAGUUCGGAUCGGAGUCUGCAACCCGACUCCGUGAAGUUGGAUUCGCUAGUAAUCGCGCAUCAGCCAUGGCGCGGUGAAUACGUUCCCGGGCCUUGUACACACCGCCCGUCAAGCCAUGGAAGCUGGGGGGACCUAAAGUCGAUAACCGCAAGGAGUCGCCUAGGGUAAAACCAGUGACUGGGGCUAAGUCGUAACAAGGUAGCCG
rnacentral:rRNA from 2 species